rnacentral:rRNA from 1 species
AGGACGAACGCUGGCGGCGUGCUUAACACAUGCAAGUCGAGCGGAAAGGCCUUUCGGGGUACUCGAGCGGCGAACGGGUGAGUAACACGUGAGUAAUCUGCCCAUCGCUUCAGGAUAGCCAUCGGAAACGGUGAUUAAUACUGGAUAUGACAUUCCUUCGCAUGUUGGGGUGUGGAAAGUUUUUUCGGCGGUGGAUGUGCUCGCGGCCUAUCAGCUUGUUGGUGGGGUAAUGGCCUACCAAGGCUUUGACGGGUAGCCGGCCUGAGAGGGUGACCGGCCACGACUGGGACUGAGACACGGCCCAGACUCCUACGGGAGCAGCAGUGGGGAAUAUUGGACAAGU